UACGGAAGGCAGCAGUGGGGAAUAUUGCACAAUGGGCGCAAGCCUGAUGCAGCCAUGCCGCGUGUAUGAAGAAGGCCUUCGGGUUGUAAAGUACUUUCAGUCGUGAGGAAGGUGUUAAGGUUAUAACCUUAGCAAUUAGACGUUAGCGACAGAAGAAGCACCGGCUAACUCCGUGCCAGCAGCCGCGGUAAUACGGAGGGUGCGAGCGUCAAUCGGAAUUACUGGGCGUAAAGGGCACGCAGGCGGUUAAUUAAGUUGGAUGUGAAAUCCCCGGGCUUAACCUGGGAAUGGCAUUCAAGACUGGUUAGCUAGAGUCUUGUAGAGGGGGUAGAAUUCCAUGUGUAGCGGUGAAAUGCGUAGAGAUGUGGAGGAAUACCGGUGGCGAAGGCGGCCCCUGGGACAAAGGACUGACGCUCAUGUGCGAAAGCGUGGGGAGCAAACAGGAUUAGAUACC
rnacentral:rRNA from 1 species